rnacentral:rRNA from 1 species
AUUGAACGCUGGCGGCAGGCCUAACACAUGCAAGUCGAGCGGCUCGGCGGUCGGGUGCUUCAUGCCUAGGUAUCUGCCUGUUAGUGGGGUAUAACGUCCGGUAACGGGCCCUACUACCGCAUACUAUCAGAUGAUCCUAGGUCGGAUUAGCUAGUUGGUGGGGUAAAGGCCUACAAAGGCGACGAUCCGUAACUGGUCUGAGAGGAUGAUCAGUCACACUGGAACUGAGACACGGUCCAGACUCCUACGGGAGGCAGCAGUGGGGAAUAUUGGACAAUGGGCGAAAGCCUGAUCCAGCCAUGCCGCGUGUGUGAAGAAGGUCUUCGGAUUGUAAAGCACUUUAAGUUGGGAGGCGUUACCAACAGAAUAAGCAACGGCUAACUUCGUGCCAGCCGCCGCGGUAAUAC